rnacentral:rRNA from 1 species
GUGCCAGCCGCCGCGGUAAUACAGAGGGUGCAAGCGUUAAUCGGAAUUACUGGGCGUAAAGCGCGCGUAGGUGGUUCGUUAAGUUGGAUGUGAAAUCCCCGGGCUCAACCUGGGAACUGCAUUCAAAACUGACGAGCUAGAGUAUGGUAGAGGGUGGUGGAAUUUCCUGUGUAGCGGUGAAAUGCGUAGAUAUAGGAAGGAACACCAGUGGCGAAGGCGACCACCUGGACUGAUACUGACACUGAGGUGC